GGCUUUGGGUCCGCGCCGGCAGGCGGAAUGCUCGGAUCUGGGAAGCGGGGAGGUCAGGGAGGGGUGGGGACGCACAUGGACACCGCGAGGGUAGUCAGGCGGGACGGGGAGCGGUGAGGGAGGGGGUGGAGACAGACUUCGGGGCUGCGGGUAGGGGCUGCGCGCUUAAUCAGCCGGCGCCCGCGCUCCUUGGCUAGCAACUUUGCGCGCUGACUGGCCCAGGGACAGGAGAGGGCUAGGCCGGCCAGCUGCGCGAAGAUAGCAAGGGAAGUAAGUGGAGUCCCAGAUAUGGACCGGGCUGGGAGGCGGUGGGGACGCCACGGAGAUCGGCUCACCUUAAAGUUGCUCCAAGUUGCGCGUCCGCAUCCGGGAUGGCGCGCUGCUUGUUACGUUCCUCCCGAUGCGUGGCCCAGGAGCAGCGUCCGGGUUCCGUUGGACUCCUCGGCGCGAACCAGGGCUCUGGCGCUUAGCCUCGCAGCGCCCUGCGCCGCUGCCUCCGCGGCGCUUCUGGCUUUGCGUGCGGCCGGCAGCGAGCUCGGCUGCGGAGUCCAGGCGUGGAUGUUGGCCGCAGAGACCCGGGGACUCGGGAGGGCGCUGCUGUGGGCUCCGUGGCUCCGCUGAGCUAGGUGGCUGCCUCCAUGUCCUCCCUCGAACCAUCUGAUAGUUUUAAGCGGUGACAGGAGCAGAAAAGACCCCUGUAGCGGCGCUUCAUUAAUGUGCCACUUCUUAGCUAUCAUAUGACAAUCGCCUUGGGAGGAGGAGGAAAAGGAGGGGGGACUGGGGGCUGCAGAGGGAGGGGACUGAGCGGGAGGGAGAGCCCGGCCAGCUCUGGUUUCUUUCACACCUAUUUACAUGGACACCUUGGCCAAUAGGAAUCACUUCCAACUCCAGACUGGGCGAUGGGGAAGAGCCUCGGCCAGUGGCGGGGAGCGAGACGCGCCGGCCGGUGGCCGGUGUGCGCCGGGUGCAGGUGCAGCCGCCCUGCCGAGGCGAUUUAGGGCAUCCAGACUACAGAGAGAGGGGAGAGAAGCGAGGAGGGGCCCUGGGAAGCUCUUGCCGGCUGGAGGCUCAGCUCAGCGAUUGGAGAUUUCCCCCUGGAAAUGUGAUGCACAUGAAAGUCUUCAAGUAAAAAAUAUUGUGGGGGAAGAAGAAGGGGUUCUGAGGAGCUGUACAGUCAGUGUGGCAGUGUGUGAGUAUGUUUCUGCAUCUUUAUUUAUGUGCACACGCAUACUAUGAAUUACAUGUAUACCCCCAACCCGGGUACUAGGGAAAGUGCAGAGAGCAAUGUUGAGCCAUCACCCAUGCGUGCAAGCAGAGGAAAUGGUGCAUUCCAAGGAAAGACAGACAACUCUGAAAGCUCUUUAGCGUGGGUUCCGAUCGUCUGCAUAAGCAGACACUUGGCUGAGUGGGUGACUGAUUCAUUCAUCUUGAUUGAUAAUUAGAACCGACAAAGAACAGAUCAACACAAAUCACCAGGGCAAAAAACAUAUGGGACUCAGUUUAAUGAGAUACCCCAAAACCUCUUUAGUGAUAAUUGCAUCGCAAGCACCAAAUAGCGUUCACAGUUGUUUUUGCAAAUGAUACAAAUUAGCACCCAAGAUCUGGAAAGUAUACUGCAUGUAAAAACACUGAGGAAUUUACGGGCCCCAGGUAGCUUGGCCAAAUAUGUGUAUUAAUCUUAGGUACCCUCUGGCAAAUAAUUUUGGGACUUCUGGCAGCAAAAGUAGUUGAGUGUGAAUACGCCUGCUGCUCACGUGUGGCACUCCCCAGUGGACAAGUUCAUCUGCGAGGCAGUUUUCUUCUUUCUCCACAGAAUCCCUCACCAAUUUCACACAAAUACCUUGAGAAUUUUUAAAUACCCAACAUGCUUAAAUUUUGCAGUAUAAAUCCUUUUCCUUGUUAGGAAAGAUAAAUGCCACACAAACAAUUUGAAGAUUUUAGAGGGAUCUAGUUAUACCGAAAAAGCCCAGGCAAGCUCUAAUAAGCUCUUCCAAUUGCCUCCUCUUACUGGGCCUAAGCACACCUCAUGAGACAAUGAGAACUGAAUCAUUGUCAG
ensembl:lncRNA